UGAGUACGAGAUGCUACGGCAUCGAAGCAGUCUAUGUCAUACUUCCAAGAAAAGCUUGCAAUGUCAUAAACAAAUAAUGCCUGUACCAUAACCGACACAGGUGGGUAGGUAGAGUAUACUAAGGGGCGCGAGAUAACUCUCUCUAAGGAACUCGGCAAAAUGACUCCGUAACUUCGGGAGAAGGAGUGCCUUAUUUUUAUAAGGUUGCAAUAACAAGAUCCAAGCAACUGUUUACCAAAAACACAGGUCUCCGCUAAGUCGUAAGACGAUGUAUGGGGGCUGACGCCUGCCCAGUGCCAGAAGGUUAAAGAAGUUGGUUAGCAUUAGCGAAGCUGAUAACUGAAGCCCUGGUGAACGGCGGCCGUAACGAUAACGGUCCUAAGGUAGCGAAAUUCCUUGUCGGGUAAGUUCCGACCCGCACGAAAGGCGUAAUGAUUUGGAUACUGUCUCGGAGAGGGGCUCGGUGAAAUAGACUUGUCUGUGAAGAUGCGGACUACCUGCACCUGGACAGAAAGACCCUAUGAAGCUUUACUGUAACUUGAGAUUGAAAUUGGACUUUAUCUGCGCAGUAUAGGUGGGAGACGUUGAAAAUAUUCUUGCGGGAAUAUUGGAGUCAUCAGUGAGAUACCACUCUUAUAAUGUUAGAUUUCUAACUUUGUAUCAUUAUCUGGUCAAAGAACAGUUUCAGGCGGGCAGUUUGACUGGGGCGGUCGCCUCCCAAACGGUAACGGAGGCGCACAAAGGUUUCCUCUGAACGUGUAGAAAUCGUAUCUAGAGUGUAAAGGCAUAAGGAAGCUUGACUGUGAGACCUACAAGUCGAGCAGGGACGAAAGUCGGUCUUAGUGAUCUGACGGUGCUGAGUGGAAAGGCCGUCACUCAACGGAUAAAAGUUACUCUAGGAUAACAGGCUGAUCUCCCCCAAGAGUUCACAUCGACGGGGAGGUUUGGCACCUCGAUGUCGGCUCAUCGCAUCCUGGGGCGGUAGUACGUCCCAAGGGUUGGGCUGUUCGCCCAUGAAAGCGGUACGCGAGCUGGGUUCAGAACGUCGUGAGACAGUUCGGUCCAUAUCCGGUGUAGGCGUUAGAGUAUUGAGAGGAGCCUUCUUUAGUACGAGAGGACCGAGAAGGACAUACCUCUGGUGUACCAGUUAUCGUGCCAACGGUAAACGCUGGGUAGCCAUGUAUGGAGAGGAUAACCGCUGAAAGCAUCUAAGUGGGAAGCCCACCUCAAGAUAAGUAUUCU
rnacentral:rRNA from 1 species